UUGAACGCUGGCGGCAUGCUUUACACAUGCAAGUCGAACGGUAACAGGGAGCUUGCUCCGCUGACGAGUGGCGAACGGGUGAGUAAUGCAUCGGAACGUACCCAGUCGUGGGGGAUAACGUAGCGAAAGUUACGCUAAUACCGCAUACGUCCUGAGGGAGAAAGCGGGGGACCGUAAGGCCUCGCGCGAUUGGAGCGGCCGAUGUCGGAUUAGCUAGUUGGUGGGGUAAAGGCCUACCAAGGCAACGAUCCGUAGCUGGUCUGAGAGGAUGAUCAGCCACACUGGGACUGAGACACGGCCCAGACUCCUACGGGAGGCAGCAGUGGGGAAUUUUGGACAAUGGGCGCAAGCCUGAUCCAGCCAUUCCGCGUGAGUGAAGAAGGCCUUCGGGUUGUAAAGCUCUUUCGGCAGGGAAGAAACGGCAGGCUCUAACAUAGCCUGCUAAUGACGGUACCUGAAGAAGAAGCACCGGCUAACUACGU
rnacentral:rRNA from 1 species